AAGAAAGUAAAUAAGGGCACACGGGGGAUGCCUAGGCUCUCAGAGGCGAAGAAGGACGUGAUAAGCUGCGAUAAGCUUUGGGGAUUGGCAAAUGCGACUUGAUCCAGAGAUUUCCGAAUGGGGCAACCUGACUAUUUGAAGAAUAGUCGUAUGAUACGCGAACGCGCUGAACUGAAACAUCUAAGUAGGCGUAGGAGAAGAAAAUAACAAUGAUUUCCCAAGUAGUGGCGAGCGAACGGGAAAGAGCCCAAACCGAUCAUGUUACGGCAUGGUCGGGGUUGUAGGACCACGACAUUGUACAGCGCUAUGAACUGGAAGCAGGUGGGAAACUGCGCAAUAAGGGUGAGAGCCCCGUACAGGUAAAGAAUGUUGACAUAGUGGUAUCCUGAGUACCGCGGGACCGGAGAAAUCCUGUGGGAAUCCACCAGCACCAUCUGGUAAGGCUAAAUACUCCUGAGAGACCGAUAGUGAACCAGUACCGUGAGGGAAAGGUGAAAAGAACCCCGAACAGGGGAGUGAAAAGAACCUGAAACCGUGUGCUUACAAGCGGUUGGAGCAGGCAGGUCCUGUGACAGCGUGCCUUUUGCAUAAUGAGCCUACGAGUUACUCUUGUCUGGCAAGGUUAAGUCCUUCAGGGACGCAGCCGAAGCGAAAGCGAGUCUUAAUAGGGCGCAUAGUCAGAUGAGGUAGACGCGAAACCUUGUGAUCUACCCUUGGGCAGGUUGAAGUUGCAGUAACAUGUAAUGGAGGACCGAACCGAUAAACGUUGAAAAGUUUCCGGAUGACCUGAGGGUAGGGGUGAAAGGCCAAUCAAACUGGGAAAUAGCUCGUACUCCCCGAAAUGUUUUUAGGAACAGCGUCGGCAUCGAGUUUAAUAGAGGUAGAGCUACCGAUUGGGUGCGGGGGAGUCAAAUCCUACCAAAUCCAGACGAACUCCGAAUGCUAUUAAAUAUGGCCGGCAGUGAGGCUUUGGGUGCUAAGGUCCAAGGCCGAGAGGGAAAGAACCCAGACCAUCAGCUAAGGUCCCUAAAUAUACGCUAAGUUGAACUAACGAGGUCCGGUUGCCCAGACAGCUAGGAUGUUGGCUUGGAAGCAGCCAUUCAUUUAAAGAGUGCGUAACAGCUCACUAGUCGAGCGGCCGGGCGUGGAUAAUAAACGGGCAUCAAGAACGGUACCGAAGCUAUGGAUUUGCACUUAUGUGCAUCUGGUAGGGGAGCAUUCCAUAUGGGGCGAAGAUAUCUGGUAAUGGGUGUUGGACCGUAUGGAAAAGCAAAUGUAGGCAUAAGUAACGAUAAGGCGGGUGGGAAACCCGCCCACCGAAAGACCAAGGUUUCCUGAUCAACGCUAAUCGGAUCAGGGUUAGUCGGGGCCUAAGGCGCAUCCGAAAGGAGCAAGCCGAUGGACAACGGGUUAAUAUUCCCGUACUUUUUAUAACUGCGAUGUGGUGACGGAGUAGUGACACUGCCGCGAACUGACGGAAUAGUUCGUUGAAAGGCGUAGGUAUAGGGACGGUAGGCAAAUCCGCCGACCCUGCUGAAACCCAAUAGUACAGCAAAGCUUCGGUGGCGCUGAUAGAGCAGGUAAACAGACUUCCAAGAAAACCCGCUAAGCUUCAGGUUAUGAAGACCCGUACCGCAAACCGACACAGGUGGUCGAGGAGAGAAUCCUAAGGUGCUCGAGUGAGUCAUGGCUAAGGAACUCGGCAAAAUGGCCCUGUAACUUCGGGAGAAGGGGCGCUGUCUCAGCGAUGAGCAGCCGCAGUGAAAAGGCCCAGGCGACUGUUUAGCAAAAACAUAUGGCUUUGCGAAAUCGAAAGAUGAAGUAUAAGGCCUGACACCUGCCCGGUGCUGGAAGGUUAAGAGGGGAUGUCAUCGCAAGAGAAGCAUUGAAUCGAAGCCCCAGUAAACGGCGGCCGUAACUAUAACGGUCCUAAGGUAGCGAAAUUCCUUGUCGGGUAAGUUCCGACCUGCACGAAUGGUGUAACGAUCUGGGCGCUGUCUCAGCCAUGAGCUCGGUGAAAUUGUGGUAUCGGUGAAGACGCCGGUUACCCGCAACGGGACGGAAAGACCCCAUGCACCUUCACUAUAGCUUAACAUUGAAAUUGGGUACAGGAUGUGUAGGAUAGGCGGGAGAUAUUGAAGCGGCUUCGCCAGGAGUCGUGGAAUCAACCUUGAAAUACCGCCCUUUCUGUAUCCGGUUUCUAAUCCCGUUAUUCGGGAGACAUUGUUUGGUGGGUAGUUUGAC
rfam:Triticum urartu cultivar G1812 contig230527, whole genome shotgun sequence.